rnacentral:rRNA from 15 species
GCUUACGGCCAUACCACCCUGAACGCGCCCAAUCUCGUCCGAUCUCGGAAGCUAAGCAGGGUCGGGCCUGGUUAGUACUUGGAUGGGAGACCGCCUGGGAAUACCAGGUGCUGUAAGCC